UACGGAGGGUGCGAGCGUUGUCCGGAAUCAUUGGGCGUAAAGGGCGCGUAGGUGGCCCGGUGAGUCUUUGGUGAAAGCGCGGGGCUCAACCCUGCGUCGGCCAGGGAUACUGCCGCGGCUCGAGCACUGUAGAGGCAGGCGGAAUUCCGGGUGUAGCGGUGGAAUGCGUAGAGAUCCGGAGGAACACCGGUGGCGAAGGCGGCCUGCUGGGCAGUGGCUGACGCUGAGGCGCGACAGCGUGGGGAGCAAACAGG
rnacentral:rRNA from 1 species